rnacentral:rRNA from 1 species
CAAUAGCGUAUAUUAAAGUUGUUGCAGUUAAAAAGCUCGUAGUUGGAUUUGUGGUUCGUCCCGCCGGCGGGGUCAUUGACUUUUGCUGUGCUGGUCGUCCAUCCUUGGGUGGAAUCUGUGUGGCAUUAGGUUGUCGCGCAGGGGAUGCCCAUCGUUUACUGUGAAAAAAUUAGAGUGUUCAAAGCAGGCUUAUGCCGUUGAAUAUAUUAGCAUGGAAUAAUGAUAUAGGACCUUGGUACUAUUUUGUUGGUUUGCGCAUCGAGGUAAUGAUUAAUAGGGACAGUUGGGGGUAUUCGUAUUCCAUUGUAAGAGGUGAAAUUCUUGGAUUUUUGGAAGACGAACUACUGCGAAAGCAUUUACCAAGGAUGUUUNCAUUAA